rnacentral:rRNA from 1 species
UACGUAGGGUGCAAGCGUUAAUCGGAAUUACUGGGCGUAAAGCGUGCGCAGGCGGUUGUGCAAGACCGAUGUGAAAUCCCCCGGGCUUAACCUGGGAAUGGCAUUGGUGACUGCACGGCUAGAGUGUGUCAGAGGGGGGUAGAAUUCCACGUGUAGCAGUGAAAUGCGUAGAGAUGUGGAGGAAUACCGAUGGCGAAGGCAGCCCCCUGGGAUAACACUGACGCUCAUGCACGGAAAGCGUGGGGAGCAAACAGG